GAUGAAGAACGCAGCGAAAUGCGAUACGUAAUGUGAAUUGCAGAAUUCAGUGAAUCAUCGAAUCUUUGAACGCACAUUGCACUCUCUGGUAUUCCGGAGAGUAUGCUUGUUUGAGUAUCAGUAAACACCUCAAAUCUCUUGUUUCUUGAGAAUAAGAGAAUUGGACUUGAGCAAUCCCAACUCUUGCAAAAGAGGCGGGUUGCUUGAAAUGCAGGUGCAGCUGGACAUUCUUCUGAGCUAAAAGCAUAUUUAUUUAGUCCCGUAAAACGGAUUAUUACUUUUGCUGCAGCUAACAUAAAGGUUGAAUGGCCAAUAUGGCUGACUGAUGCAGGAUUAACAGAGAAUUUAUUCUUUGUAAACUCGAUCUCAAAUCAAGUAAGACUACCCGCUGAACUUAAGCAUAUCAAUAAGCGGAGGA
rnacentral:misc_RNA from 1 species